ACAGGCACGUAAUGGUGCUGUUCCUUCGGGACAGGGGAGACAGGUGGUGCAUGGUUGUCGUCAGCUCGUGUCGUGAGAUGUUGGGUUAAGUCCCGCAACGAGCGCAACCCUUAUCUUUAGUAGCCAGCGGUUCGGCCGGGCACUCUAGAGAGACUGCCAGGGAUAACCUGGAGGAAGGCGGGGAUGACGUCAAAUCAUCAUGCCCCUUAUGAGCAGGGCUACACACGUGCUACAAUGGCGUAAACAAAGGGAGGCGAAGCCGCGAGGUGGAGCAAAUCCCAAAAAUAACGUCUCAGUUCGGAUUGUAGUCUGCAACUCGACUACAUGAAGCUGGAAUCGCUAGUAAUCGCAAAUCAGAAUGUUGCGGUGAAUACGUUCCCGGGUCUUGCACACACCGCCCGUCACACCAUGGGAGUUGGUAACGCCCGAAGUCAGUGACCCAACCGUAAGGAGGGAGCUGCCGAAGGCGGGACUGAUGACUGGGGUGAAGUCGUAACAAGGUAGCCGUAUCGGAAGGUGCGGCUGGAUCACCUC
rnacentral:rRNA from 1 species